CCCUUAGAUGUCCGGGGCCGCACGCGCGCUACACUGAAGGAAUCAGCGUGGCUUUCUCCCUGACCCGAAAGGGUUGGGAAACCCGUUGAAUCUCCUUCGGGAUAGGGAUUGGGGCUUGAAAUUGUUCCCCAUGAACGAGGAAUUCCCAGUAAGCGCGAGUCAUAAGCUCGCGUUGAUUACGUCCCUGCCCUUUGUACACACCGCCCGUCGCUACUACCGAUUGAACGGUUUAGUGAGGGCCUCGGAUUGGUCUCGGCCCGCUCUUUACCGGGCGGCGCCGUUGGUCGAGAAGACGCUCGAACUUGAUCGUUUAGAGGAAGUAAAAGUCGUAACA
rnacentral:rRNA from 1 species